CUGGCUGCAACUGUUUAAUAAAAACACAGCACUGUGCAAACACGAAAGUGGACGUAUACGGUGUGACGCCUGCCCGGUGCUGGAAGGUUAAUUGAUGGGGUCAGCCGCAAGGCGAAGCUCUUGAUCGAAGCCCCAGUAAACGGCGGCCGUAACUAUAACGGUCCUAAGGUAGCGAAAUUCCUUGUCGGGUAAGUUCCGACCUGCACGAAUGGCGUAAUGAUGGCCAGGCUGUCUCCACCCGAGACUCAGUGAAAUUGAACUCGCUGUGAAGAUGCAGUGUACCCGCGGCAAGACGGAAAGACCCCGUGAACCUUUACUAUAGCUUGACACUGAACAUUGAGCCUUGAUG
rnacentral:rRNA from 1 species